GUUUUUACCAAAAAAAAGAAAAAACAAAAUGAAAUUCUGAGUGUUCCUUUUUCUUUUUCCAUCUGUGCAGUGGUCAUGACGAGACGAAAAUGCCGCCACGCCCCUUAUACAGAUGAUUCUCGCCGCCGUUUUGCACCACCGGAAGCCCAACCCCAACCCCAUCUCCAACUCCAACUCCGUAUUCACCCGUCAGACUUAAUUGAUGAUCGGGAAGUUGCUCAGCAACGCGAGAUUGAAAAAUUGCUCCAGGAAAACCGCAGCCUAGCGGGCGCACACGUCUCUCUUAACCAGGAGCUCUCCGCCAUCCAGCACGAGCUCCGUCUUCUCUCUUCCACAGCCGCAACCGUCAAGACCGAAAGGGAUGCUGAAGUCCGUGAGGUUUACGACGAGGCACGGAAGAAGGAGUCUGAUGUUUGUAUACUCGAUGAGCUUAGAGUAGAUUUGGCUCGGGUUAGGAGUGAUAUUCAGAACCUAGUUGACGACCGUAAAGAGCUCACUGCCAAAUUGCAGAACAUGGAGGAAGAUCUCGUCAAAGUUGGUUCCGAGUUACAGCAGUUUCCCGUAAUCAAGGCCGAAAUGGAGUCCAUGCGUAAGGAAGUUCAACGAGGAAGGGCUGCUAUCGACUAUGAAAAAAAGAUGCACACCAGCAACCUUGAAUAUAGUCAAGCAAUGGAGAAACAUAAGAUUACUCUGGCUUCUGAAAUUGAGAAACUACAUGCUGAGCUUGCAAAUGCAGAGAAGAGGGCAAGGGCAGCAGCAGCUGCAGCGGCUCCAAGUAAUUUAAAUCACCAGAUUUCUGCAGCAACUCCGAAUUUUACAUAUUCUGCCAAUUAUGGAAAUCCUGAAACAGGAUAUGGAGAGAAUCUGUACCCUGCGCCUUAUGCUGUACAUCAGGAGGUGACAGGUAUCCUGUGGAUUUAGUCAAGGUGUGCGAAAGCUGGUCAGGACACCAAGGUCAUCAAAAAAGAAGAAAGGGAACUACUUGCUUCUUUUCAGGUUCAGGGUAGUGCUGAUGCAAAUACCCAAUAUGUUGGUGGACAUCACUAGUUGGUUGUUUGAAAGUGUGCUGGAUGACAAGCAUCGUACUUAGGGAUGUUUUACUUCAUGAGAAAAGUGGUGGUUUUUGGAAACAUUUGUCUCAGAAUUCAGAUAAUAACUGUUUCUACAUGUCUCUUUGACCUGGGUUUAGUCGUUUGAAUUUAUUAGUUGAUUGGAUAGCAUUAACUAACUAGAUAAAAAUGUGGCUGUACAUUUAUGAACUUCUAGAGGAAUAAUGGGCAGGUAAGACCUCAUCAAGGAAACACAUCACCAUCUUAAACAAUCACUAAAACUUGCCUUCCCAUCUUAAACAAAA